UACAGAGGGGGCAAGCGUUGUUCGGAAUUACUGGGCGUAAAGGGCGCGUAGGCGGCCUGUUAAGUCGAACGUGAAAUCCCCGGGCUCAACCCGGGAACUGCGUCCGAUACUGGCAGGCUUGAAUUCGGGAGAGGGAUGUGGAAUUCCAGGUGUAGCGGUGAAAUGCGUAGAUAUCUGGAGGAACACCGGUGGCGAAGGCGGCAUCCUGACCGGUAUUGACGCUGAGGCGCGAAAGCCAGGGGAGCAAACAGG
rnacentral:rRNA from 1 species